UACAGAGGGUGCAAGCGUUGUUCGGAAUUAUUGGGCGUAAAGAGCUCGUAGGCGGUUCGUCACGUCGGCUGUGAAAACCUGAGGCUCAACCUCAGGCCUGCAGUCGAUACGGGCGGACUUGAGUACUGCAGGGGAGACUGGAAUUCCUGGUGUAGCGGUGAAAUGCGCAGAUAUCAGGAGGAACACCGGUGGCGAAGGCGGGUCUCUGGGCAGUAACUGACGCUGAGGAGCGAAAGCGUGGGGAGCGAACAGG
rnacentral:rRNA from 1 species